CAGAACCUCCACCUGGAAUCAGUCUCCAACUCUCGACAACUGAUUCUCCACAGCUCCACCUGGAAUAUAAUUCUCUUCACAUUAAUUCCAGGUGCCUACAUCCUACAAUGUCGAUAGUGGCGUUACCUGGAGCUGUGUUGCCUUUCAAGCGAUGUUAAGGAGAUCAUAGCAGACUUGAAAAUCCUUUCCAGGUACUGCUUGAGUCUUAAAAUCUGUUGGAUGAAUAGUAGUUAGUAUCUUGUUCAAGACCACCUCUCCUUUAGAUACCAAACCUUUGAUGAACUGUGUUUUAGCUUCAGAAAUCCCGAAAGCCUUAACUUCCGUUUCCUGACUUUCUUGUGAGAGAGCU